ACUGUUGUCAGUCCGCCGCGGAAGGUGACUGGUCUAUCCUCCUGUUUUGAUGGAUUAUAACAAAAUAUAAUGCUUGUACUUUGCUAAUUGAAUUUUUUUCUGCAGUGUUUUGUUAUCCAAUUUUGAACAUGUUUGGUUUUGGUGACUCUGACUUGGUACUGACUAUGAGUUUUUUAUGCAUAUUGUGGGAUGCGCUCAAUCGACCAAUUCUAUAUAU
rnacentral:misc_RNA from 1 species